CUGCCAUCUAAAAAAAGACAGCCAUGUCCUCUACCUUCAUUUGUUUUAGAAUUUCUGCAAUAAGAUCCCUUCCCUGAAUGGUUUCUGCUACCCCAUGAAGUCACAUUUUCCUACAUGAGUUCUACGUCUUUAGGGGUAUGUUUUGUUGGAUCAGCCCUUGCCUGAUAAGGAAUAACAUGAACUAGCUUAUGUUUCACAAUCAUCUUCCAAGUACUGGGGUGACUGAAUUAGCUACCUUCAUGUAUCCAGUUCUUGGCAUCAGUACAAUGCUAGGUUCUGAAAUUGCACCAUACUUUUAUCACCAUCCAAAUUGCAGUGUUCUGGUUUAGUUGGAAAAUCAAGGUUACAAUUUGCGUUUACAGAAUGAAAUUUCCCAGCAGUGUUUGUGAUGGUCACUGUGAUAUAAUUUGAUAUACAAAAUAUUGACAAUAGCUGUUUUUCUUCAACUUUACUUUGUAGAAUGAAAACGAUUAAGAGUUUUGGUGUACCUUUGUAUUUUCAAAGUUCAGGGCCACAUGGCCAAAUGCGUUAGUUGUCAGUGAUUGCUUGACAUACAAAAUAGGAGAACAUUAAGAAAUUGUCUAGUUAGGAUGGGAGAAAUGUUGACCAGGACAUCAGACUGGGGUUUCUUGUUUUUGUUAUUUUAACACUAUUUUUAAACUCUUGAACAAGUAGAGGGACUAUUUUAACAUUCUAGGUAUAGAAGUAGCUUUUAUAACACAGUAUUGUUAAUUCUAAGUGAA
rnacentral:lncRNA from 1 species